GACGAACGCUGGCGGCGUGCUUAACACAUGCAAGUCGAGCGAUGAAGCUCCUUCGGGAGUGGAUAGCGGCGGACGGGUGAGUAACGCGUGAGCAAUCUGCCUUUUACAGGGGGAUAACACAGGGAAACUUGUGCUAAUACCGCAUAAAAUAUUUGGUUGGCAUCGACUGAAUAUCAAAGGAGAAAUCCGGUAGAAGAUGAGCUCGCGUCCGAUUAGCUAGUUGGUGGGGUAAAGGCCUACCAAGGCGACGAUCGGUAGCCGAACUGAGAGGUUGAUCGGCCACAUUGGGACUGAGACACGGCCCAGACUCCUACGGGAGGCAGCAGUGGGGAAUAUUGCGCAAUGGGGGAAACCCUGACGCAGCAACGCCGCGUGGAGGAUGAAGGUUUUCGGAUUGUAAACUCCUUUGAUCGGGGACGAAAAAAAUGACGGUACCCGAAAAACAAGCCACGGCUAACUACGUGCCAGCCGCCGCCGUAAUAC
rnacentral:rRNA from 1 species